CCUACGGGGCGCAGCAGUAGGGAAUCUUCGGCAAUGGACGAAAGUCUGACCGAGCAACGCCGCGCGAGUGAAGAAGGUUUUCGGAUCGUAAAACUCUGUUGUUAGAGAAGAACAAGUAGAAGAGUAACUGCUCUUACCUUGACGGUAUCUAACCAGAAAGCCACGGCUAACUACGUGCCAGCAGCCGCGGUAAUACGUAGGUGGCAAGCGUUGUCCGGAUUUAUUGGGCGUAAAGCGAGCGCAGGCGGUUUCUUAAGUCUGAUGUGAAAGCCCCCGGCUCAACCGGGGAGGGUCAUUGGAAACUGGGAGACUUGAGUGCAGAAGAGGAGAGUGGAAUUCCAUGUGUAGCGGUGAAAUGCGUAGAUAUAUGGAGGAACACCAGUGGCGAAGGCGGCUCUCUGGUCUGUAACUGACGCUGAGGCUCGAAAGCGUGGGGAGCAAACAGGAUUAGAUACCCGCGUAGU
rnacentral:rRNA from 1 species